rnacentral:lncRNA from 1 species
CAGCCAGCCAUCAGGGAGCCAGCAAUAGAUGCAAGGAUUGGGGGACUCUGAG